rnacentral:rRNA from 1 species
GAUGAACGCUGGCGGCGUGCCUAAUACAUGCAAGUCGAGCGAACAGAUGAGGAGCUUGCUCCUCUGACGUUAGCGGCGGACGGGUGAGUAACACGUGGAUAACCUACCUAUAAGACUGGGAUAACUUCGGGAAACCGGAGCUAAUACCGGAUAAUAUAUUGAACCGCAUGGUUCAAUAGUGAAAGACGGUUUUGCUGUCACUUAUAGCUGGAUCCGCGCCGCAUUAGCUAGUUGGUAAGGUAACGGCUUACCAAGGCAACGAUGCGUAGCCGACCUGAGGGGGGGAUCGGCCACACUGGAACUGAGACACGGUCCAUACUCCUACGGGAGGCAGCAGUAGGGAAUCUUCCGCAAUGGGCGAAAGCCUGACGGAGCAACGCCGCGUGAGUGAUGAAGGUCUUCGGAUCGUAAAACUCUGUUAUUAGGGAAGAACAAAUGUGUAAGUAACUAUGCACGUCUUGACGGUACCUAAUCAGAAAGCCACGGCUAACUACGUG